GAGAAAAUAUAAUCCACGGAGCUCACUGGGAAAAACUGUUAAAGUCGUCCAAUGGUGUUUAAGUAGAGUCAUUUUUUUUUUUCUGUACCUGCCUACAUCUUAGUAUCUUAACAACCGUGUAGUUCGGUUUCGUGACGAAUGUUGUACCGAAGUUAUAUUUUUUUAUUUAUUAAAUCUAUUGUUUGACGUUUAAGUUUUUAUAAAAAAAUACCGUACGCAUAAAAAGAAAAACGGACUGCCCGGGCGUCGUCGCUCAUGGAAGAAAUGCGUCGGAUCACGAAUUCCGAGCCAAAGCUCGGGCACCAGGUGCGUAAUUUCAUAUCCCAUGCGACAAAUCAAUAAUAGGUUUUACAACUUUCUGCGUUAUUACAAACCUAUUUAUUGGCACGUUGUUCGGUAUAUAAAACUUAUCUAAUUAAAUCAUCGGAUAUUGUUAAUACCUACAUAUGGCUUGGUCAAAAUCGAACAUAAUGUAGGUACCUAUCGAUCCGUAAAUUUAUAAAUACUUCAAAUAUAGCGACAAUCUUAUUCACGGUUAUUUUUCGUGAAUUAUUAUUUUUUUUUUUUCUACGACCUACCCGAAUUCCGCUCACAAAACGUGAGUGACACAUGCAGUCGUUUAUGUUACAGAGAUUAGGUCGACACGUUUAGACCAGAUACUCCGGCCCAUACUGUAAACAUAUGCCUCUACCGGAUGUAUAACCAUAUUUUUAUUCCUCUCUCCCCCCCACCCCUUCGUUUAUCUGUCGGCUUCUAGUCGAACGAUUAAACUUGCCUAAUAUUGUGUAUGCUGUAGUAUUAUGUAAAACGUCGGUAGGUACUUACAAUAAUAAUAACUAUUACAAAUCGAGAUAUAAAAACACGAAAAUUAUUCUUAUAUUGCUUUCGAGUUAGGUAUAGAUGAGGUACUUAUUUGAGAUAUACAUAGGUCGGCGCAUAGCCAAUAGACGUGUAGUUUAACUACUACAUACUUAAUCAGGAUUUACACAAGAAUAUAAAAUACGAAAAAUACAGAUAACACUGUACGGACAAAAUGUUUACUUAUACCUAUACUAUACUAUUUUUGAGCGGGAAUUAUUUUUUUAUGGGCAGGGGAGGGGCAAAAAUAUAAAUGGUUUAGCUAUAGUUACGUUAUCAAUAUUUUCUGAGACUCGCCCUCCUCCCCAUGAAUCAUGAUACACGUGUAGGAGAAUGACUCAUUCCCCUAUCUGUGUUCUAAAACCGGUGCUCGAAAUUAAAAAAAAUUAUUAAAUUACAACAACAAUACAUAAUUGUCUUUUUUAAAUACCUAUAUAAUAUUUUAAUAUAUAUUCUCUAUGUUUAUAUUAUAUGAUUUGUGAAUAACAACGAUAAACUUUCUUUCUAUGUGGAAAUUUGAACAAGAAUUGCAUUACCGUUUAUUUCGAGCCCUGACUUGAGCACAUUUUUUGGUACAGACAUAACUAAAAAAUAAAAUAAAAUUUCUGUUGAUAUAAAGUGCAUACAGUGUUGUCAUAGAUUAUUAUAUAGAUACCUAUCAAAUUACACGUAAUUAUUUGUGUAGUGAUGUGAUGUUAUAGAAUUAUAAUCUCAAUUUCGACUGGUUUUUUAAAAUCAUAAUAUCAGUUAGGUAACUAUAUGUUAUAAAGUUAUGAAAUAUUAUUUAUUUAUCUAUAUUGUAUUGGGAGGGAGGGGUGAAAUGAUAUGUUUGCCCCGCUACCUAUGCUUUGAACGGUGGGAUGACCGAAGUAGAGAUACUUACAGAGGCCUUUUGUAUACAUGGUACAAUUUUCAAAAAAUUUUUAAAGGCGCACUUAACUCACUUUUUCCACUAACUUAAAAAUAGUAUUUUUUACAAUUUUGUACUAAAAACCUAAAAUCCUCAAAAACUCAUAAUUCAAUUUCAUUUUACGGGUCCUGUGGUUUAUUUGUUUAAAGUAGAUAAAAUUGUGUUGGCCGACAGAAAUACUGUUAAAUUUAAUAAGUGGUUAACUAAAAAUUCUACUUAGUGAUGAAAAUAAAAGUUUAGCCUAAUAUAGGUUUUUUUUAUACAGGAUCCCGUAAAGACCAAACCAUACAAUUUUUCUAAAAUUCUAAAUAUUUGUAGUCCUUAUUCCUAUGAGUCAUAUUAUGAAAAUAAAUCAGAAUCUGAUUACUUUUAUUAUCCCAGGAGAUAUCGCUAAUCGUUAGGUAUGGGUAUAUAUUCGUAGGACACUGUAAUCACGUUUAAAGGAAAUCGUAAACAUCACAUAAUUCAACGUAUUAUUUUUCCAUUUAUGUUAAUAUAUCUAGUUUUUAGUUAACCCAACAUUUUUGAAAUUAAUAUCACAAUUUUAUAAUACGUUAAAUUUGAUGGUAAGACCAAAAAAAAAAAAAUAAUGCAUAAUGCAUUAGUUUUUUUUGUUUUGAUAAGUUGUUAUUUGUAAUUCAAAUAUGGACAUAAAUCAUGACAUAUUAUACAAACGAACUUCAUUUAGAAUCGUAUUUCGUUAACAAUGAUUUUAUAUAUUAUAUAUAUUGACUUAUAAUAAUUCUGUGUAUCAUACACAUAAUUCCCAGCUUCCCACCUACAAGUUACAACAGUGAUGGCACAAUCACCUAUAGUAUUAGUUCUUUUAGAUACGUGUGCCACCAUUUAUGAAAGUUAAUGUCUGAAGAUUACUUUAGGUAUGUAAUUUUUUGAUUUUCCAAACGGUUUUCAUAAUAUCUGGGGAAACCCGGUAUAAAACAUUAGAAAAACCGACAAUUUACGAAAAUAACUUCUUUUAUUAUUUUCAAUUUUGUUAUUUGUUGUCAUUCAGUUAAAAAUAUUCAUAGAGAUUUGAAAUUUGGACAGAAAAAUUUUAUUUGCCUUUUCCAAAUAUGGUAAAAUUGUCAAAACAUUUAAGCUACUUUUAAGCUUUUUAUAAAAAUUAAAUUUUUUUUAUUGAAAUUCAGUUAAAAAUAUUCUUAUGGACUUAAUAGACUUGAAAUUUGGACACAAGCCUUAUAUUUGUCUUUUCUAGACGUGGUCAAAUUUUCUAACAAUUUUAACCAUAUUUGAGUUAAUAGUUGAUAGUAUUAUAAUUUUGGAGGUUUUGUACGUAAGUUUUAUUUAGUACUAUGUAGUAAAGUUGUAAGACUAAGCCGAAAUGCUUGAAAAUUUAACAGUCGUACUUUUUGUUAAAAAAAAAAAAACUUAACUAAAUUUAAUUUUUUUUGUAUAUAAAGGAAUUUUAAUAUCACAUUUUGACAAAAAUCGUUUGACUUUUUAGUUUUUGUUUUAAAAUAUUUGUAAUUUUUUAAAUUUAAAAAUAAAUUGAUCAAUAAAAAAAAUAUAUAUGGUUUGGUUUAAUUUGUAAUUUUCAAUACAACAAUGUUAAUGAAAUUGAAAUCAAUUUAAGACGCCUUUUUGUUUUUUAAUGAGUAUAAAAUUUGAGUUUGUGGUUUUGAGAUGAAAGUAAUAAAUAUAUAUAUAUAAUACAAUCGGGAAUAAUUUGUAUUUUAUAAUAUUUAAAAUCUAAUUAUUAAUUUCCAAUAGUAAUAUAAUGUGUUAUUAAUUACUUGAAAUAGGAUGAUCCGCUGAUCCAUCAACUCCGGGUAUCGUGUUUACGCCAUGCAGUGAUCUGAAUCUUAAUUUUACUUGCCUCGAAAGUUGUACUAUAAUUUAUGUAUACGAUGAAAAAGUGUAAAAGCGAUAAAUAAUAAGUUAUAUGUUUUUAUACUUAAUAAAUAUAGAUAAAUCGUAAGAUAUCCAGAUUCAAAAUUGAAUAAUUUAUACAAAUACAUUUUAAAAUCUAUACCAAUUAACUUACCUUAUUCUAUAAGAUCCAUAUUGUAUUUAAAAAAAAAAAAAUUCAAACAUACCUAAAUUUUUAUUAAUGCAGUUCCAUAUAUUAUAUUUAUACUUAUCUGGGUAUAUAAUCAGAUUUGUGAUGAGUAAAAUGCAUGAUAAGCAUUACAUUUUUUUCUAGUAUACAACUUAUAGUUAUCAAUAAUUCAAUAUCAUACAUUUUAUUUGACAUAAUUUUAAAAUCGACUUCAGACAAACUAAACUACGAUUCAGUCCCAUGUGCGCUGAGCGGAAACGAAUUAUUCAAAACGCCAGCACACGGUUGUUGUCUGAUUGACAUGGCUGAGAAUGAUAUGGGACUCGAGUUCCAUGAAGUUAUACUUGUAACUCUAGCACUCUAGGAUUUUCUCAUGAUUUUCGAUUCUUGACGACUUUUCGCAAUUUCUCGGCACCUUCUUUUAUUUUGAUCUCGCGUCGGACCACCCGCCUAAUGGCUUCCUUCAGCUCGUCCAAUUGAGCAGGAGUUAACUAACGUAUCGAUGGAAGAUAGGUCGGGAAUCGCAUGGUCAUUGUUUUUCACUAAACCGUACUCGAAACCCAAUUCGUAUGGAACGAGAUUGCACGUUUGUUUACACUGAAACUAAUGUAUCAUAAUUAAAUUAAACUAAUAUUUCUUAUUAAAUUAUUAACACAAUAAAAAUAAACAAAUUUUAUUAAAAACAGUAUUUCACUUACUUUCUCAGGAAUGCAGCAUAUUAUCAUAUUACUGAGAAAACGAAAUCCUUUAAAUAAGGUAAAAAUUAACUUAAUCAUAUUGGAUACUGUAUAUAUUACUUAUAUUACUUAUUUUUUUGUAUUUUAUAUACCUAGAUACUAAUAUUGAAGUAUAUAUUUAUGCAUUUUUUAAAAACAAACAGUAGGUGCAUUAAAAAUAAAUUAUAACCGUGAGAUUUUGUCAACGCAAUGUGCGUAAAAGUAAUAGAAAUAAUAUUAUUACAACGGAAAUAUACGCUGUGUAUAUAUAUUGUCUAUGUUUUACCCCUUAAAAGAAAAAUCUAAUUAUAAUUAUUAUUAUGUAUUUUUUAUUACACAAGAUAUUAUUAAUUUAAAUUAUUUUUGUCUAUACGACUGUCUAUAUAAUAGUUUUCUUGUUUUCAAACACAAUGAUAUACAGCAUUUUAUAAGUAUUUUAUUUUAACUAAUAGUAAUUAGUAUUACAUAUUGUAUAACAGUUUAAUUUUCUGUGUAGGAACUCAUCUACUCCAAGUACAGGAUUUAGAAAGGUUUUUGUCAUAUUCAGUUAUUUUGUACAUACUUAUAUUUUCUUGGUUAUAUGAUGAUUAAGUAAAUAUAUUAUUAUUAUUAUUAUUUUGUUUUCGUUGACGUUCAAAUUUCAAAAUUCCAAGUAAACGUUACGAACUUAACUAUAUCAAUAUUACUACGCAAUAUAUAAUAUAAGACUUAUUUUUAAAUCCCAAUAUUAUAAUAUUAUCUAUUCAAAUUUGGUUCGCGUUUGAUAAAUCUAUUUAUAUAUACAUUUAAAAGAAAAUAUAGUAUUCACUUAUAGGUACGGCAUGUGCGGAAUUUUUGAUUAGGGUAGUGAAUCGCUGUGUGUAACCCUAGAAGUUGAUUUUUUUCUUUUUAGAGCACCGUGGAGUAUACCUAUUAUUAGUAUUUUUCGGGUGUUCAAUAACAAAAUAUAAUUAAUUUUCGUUUAUAAUCUUUCAGUUUUAUCAAAAUUGUUUAAAUUUCUCUUAGUUGUAGGUAUAUCAGCUAGGUACUUACUUUCUUAUCGCAUCGUAAAUCGACAAUAAUAUAUUAUUCGUAUAUAAUAUUAUUAUUAAAUUCGUAUACAUAAUUUUCAAGUUUUACAUUCGUUAUCUUGUCGAAUAACUAUUCAUAUUAUCUGACAUAAUAUAUAGUUAGUACUUCAUAUUUGUAUACUAAAGCGUAUUUAUAGGAUUAUAUACCUAAAUUAUAGUUAUUUGUAUUUAUUUAAUAAUUUAAUAUCGUUUUAUUCAUAUUAAUUUUUAAUAUUUAACUAGAAUCGGUGAGUUAAAAUAAUUUAUCAUGCCUGGGGCUUUGUAUAGUUUUUUAUUAUUUCGGUAGCCAUAGAAGCUGUAAUAAUAUACGAGUUAUAAUUAUUUAUUUAUUUACUUAGUUGUUUUUUUUUUUGCUUUCGUAUUGUUACGUGAUAUUCAUUAUUGAUUUUUAUAUAUUGCGUAACGCUUUGUAUGGUACCUAUAAUAUAUAGGAAUAUUAUGGUUUGGAGAUGCAUGUAAAUUUAAAAUUACUGGAAAUAAUUCCCAUAUAGCUUUGAAAAGUACACCCCCUCCCCUUGUAUUAAGAAAUUAUGUUAUUUUAUUUUCGGCAGUGUAUAACCUUUAAAAGCUCAGCAUACAAGGUCAAAUAUUUUACGAAUGUUAAAUUUGGUACAAAUUUUUUUGAAAAUGGUUCAGGCUACAGAGUGUAAAGAUUUACACAGUAAAUUGGGUAAAUUUAUUACUAAUGUAAUACACAACAACAAAUGUUAUUAGAAAACGUUUACUCCUUUAUCACCUUCUCGGUGUUGAUGUUUCCAUUAUUCGAUUUUUCUCUCUAUCCAUGAUUAGACAACUGUUUGACUUAUAACUAUAACAAAUAUUUACCCAAAUUUUCGGUCGGUAAAUAUACUUACUUAAUAUUACUUAUGUGUAAUUGCUGAAUUGAUACCCAGAAUAUUUACCUACAGUUUAGACAGUAAAUGACUCCUACUCAAUGAACAUAAAGAGAGUUCAUUACUAACCUAAACUAUUGUUCAGACCCUAUUAAAAUAAUACCAGCAUUCCACAUGUUUUAUAACUCGCUGCCUCCGAUCGGUUAAAUUAAUCCGCCAAUAACGAAAUUCGUUAAUAAAUCUGUUGAAUAUUUAAAAAAAAAACUGUUUUAGGAAUAUUUUAAGUUAGACAUAUAGAUAUACUUUAAAAUAUUUGAAAAUAUACCUACUUAAAUUUGUGAUGGCGUGAACCGGGCUUAAGUUUGUAUAAAUUAAGUUUGUGUUUGCCAUGAUAUUGUAAAAAUUAUUAUUAAAAUAUCUCUGAGAAUAAUGUCGUAUACCUUAUUUUAAAUAGGAUUGAAUUAUUCAACUAAACGAAAUAUAUUCUUGAAAUUGACGAUAUUAUAAAGGCACCUAUACUUACAUAUUAUGUAGAUUAUUCAAUUAUCUACAUAGAGUCGCAGUAGUAUAAGGAAUUAUUAUACAUUUUUGACCUUGAAUUGGUUAUAAAUGAUAAAUGAUAAUAAGUAUACCUAUAAUAAUAUAAGAUAGUAUAGACGACGAAACCCAGAACAAACAUAUCGAUAGCACCAGUAUUUGGUCUCGUAUAGCAAUAUUGAAGUUACAUUUUAUUUCAUACGUUAAGUAACAUAGUUUUGUGUAUGAUACUUCGAUACCAAGAUUUCCACAUAACUCAGGUAUAACUUAUAAUCUCAGGAUAUAUUAUAAUCGAAAUUGAUUAUUGUUCCCAGUUAUUAUUUUUUUGCGAAUUUUUUUUUUAUAAAUGCAAUGUCCGCAUUAUACGCGAAGAAAAUAUUUUUAAAUAAUUUACUGGGCUAUUAUUUUAAUAUAUUUUAAUUAAUGUUUUAAUUACUUUAAUAUUCGACUUUCGUUUGGAUUUUGGCAUGAUAGAUACCUAUCGAAUUCACAAAAAACCUGCAAUAAACUGUGUAAAUUUGUACGGUUUUUACUGCUAUUAAUAAUAAUUUUUUUUUUUCCUAAUCUUUUAUCAUAUUAGAUACUAUAUAGUUAUAGGUCUUAACCCACUAACCCCGAGUGUGCAAUCAGUAUAGUAUAAUAUUAUUAUAAUAGUAUAUAAUAUAGGUUUUUAAUGUUUAGUGGAAGGGGGGGAAACCAGAAUGAUUAUUUCCAUAGACGUCACACGCAUCGCUCGUUUAUUUAAUUUAUGCGUUUUCGCAUUAAUCAUCGGACAGUGUCGUGUUGAGGGCACCAGACGAUUAUCAUUUACUAUAAAACCCGAAUAUAAUACUCAAUUGGAAAAUUAAUGGAAACUGUUUGAAAUUAAACUGAAUAAUUUUAUCUAACGUUUGAAAUAUGUGAAUAAAUUCCUAUAUUUAUUUACCUAUAUUACUACUUGUAAAAAGUGUAAAAAUUAUUUGAAGUAUUUUGAACACAGCCUGCACUUAAAUGAAUUUAAAUUCACAUUUUUCUACAAAUAAAGUACAUAAUACCAGUAUUUUAAUAAAUCUUUUGUAAACUCCAAAUCUAUCAAACACAUAUUAUAUUUAUGAUAAAUUCAUAAAUGGUCUUUAUUUUUUACUUCUUGUUAUAUAAUGCAUUUAAGAACGCAUUUUAGCUUGCAGUGUUCUUUUUGUAAUUUAUCUGAAAUAUUUAAAAAUAAAACCUAUCCAAGUUAUUUUUUUUAUAGGUUUCUAUUUCAUGAUUCGUUGCAUUAUUCGGGAUUUUUCUGAAAUUAUAAUAGGUAUCAUGUCUUUUGUUAUCAUUACCCCACAGAUGUCAUCGUCUCUUGUUCUCCAAAAUCAUAUUUGUUAGUUAAAAAAUUAUUUUUUCCUGUAGAUAUAUUAUAGAGGUAUUUUAAUAAUUAAGUUGUCGAUAUCAGUAUUCGAUCGGUGCGCAUACAUUUUGGAGCUAUUUAUGAUAUUUCACUGUAUCAGAAUCAUUUUUACACCUUCUGGGGGGUUUUUUUUUUUUGAAAGAACCUGAAUCAAUAUUUUUAAAUUGUAGCAAAUUCUCAGUGGCCGUUUCAAACUCCAAAGUUCACUAAGUUUCAUAAAAACCAUAUUUCUGAUUUCGGUUCAACUAUCGGUUGUUGCUACUUAAAUGACUUCAACGAUUAUUUGUUCAUUAUUAUAAAUUUACUUAAGGCUAUUGUAUAAAUAAUAUAUUAUAUUUAGGUACGAAUUAAGAAUUUGUUACAUUCUAGAAAAUUACUAAUAUUGGAACUUCUAUUUAAAUGACAAGGAAUCAAAUUCACAAAUUAUAAUAAUAAAUAAUAAAAAUAUAUCUUAUUGGUAAGUAAUAAACAGAAAGAUAUAAGUUAAUUCAAAUUCGAAUCUCCCAAGUGCUCAGAUAGAUUUAUAUUUUUUUCUUCCGUUUUAUUUUGUUUUUGUACACCCAUGAAGGUUCGACAUUACCUGUAAGAUCUUUCAUAAAAAAAUCCUACUGUACAAUUCAUGCAAAUCAUAUGGAUUGGUAAAUUUUAAUUGCAACUUUCUGUUAAUUUUAUAAACCAAAUAGAUGAAUAAAUUUAAACCUUUCAAACAGUAUACAUUAGUAAUUUACGUAAUUUACAGUAAGCAGUAACUUUACACAUAUAUUGUUACUGACGUGUGUUGCUAUACAUUUCAUGUUAAUUUCAAUUUAAAACUGUUUACAAUGUAGAGUUAAUCCGUAUAAUCGUUUUGCGUUUUACAUAAUCGUUAUGAUGCUGACUGACCCAAUCAAAACAAUAACCUAUUAAAAAAAAACAAAUAAGUACAUUCCUUACUUCAUUCAAAAUCUAAAAAAAAAGAAAACAAACAGACGAGAUACGUCAUAUUAUAACAAUAAAUACAGUGUACGCAUUAGGGUUACGAUUUAAAAGGUCGACCGAUUGACGUAAAUCAUUUUUCGGUGAAUCAUCUUGUAUAAUCUGUUUCGUCCGAUAAAACUAACAAUGCCUUCAACCCUUUUCGGCGCAGUUCACUGUUAUUACUUAUUAUUAUUAUAUGUUACAAUUAUAAUAUAAAACAAGGAACAUUCCGAGUAUUGAAAUAUUAAUACGUCAGUAUGUCCGCCCAAUAAUCUAAUACAGUACGCUAUAGUUAGGUAUUCACUGUAAGAUUGUUAUUAUCGAUUUACGAGGUAAUAUUAUGUAGGUACUUAAAAAGUUUAUGUUUAAGAGGACUUUAUGGUAGCGUUUGCGAUCGCUGUACUCUCUAACGGAUAAUACCAAUAGGAAAAAUUUGUUUUUUGGUAUUUUUAACAUUACUUAUUCGGGCUCUAAUACAGACUUCGUAUAAAACUCGUUUUUCCAAAUUAAAGCCUGUCAGCACAUUUUCUAUAUAUUUCAAAUAUUUUCAAAAGUAUUAAGUAUGGAUAAGUUUGUCCGAGAAUUGAUUAUCAAAAAAAUCCCCACGUGAAAACAUACUAUAGUAAAUGUUGUAGAGUUAAAUUCCGUGAAAUCAUGUUUGUUUUAAAUCUAUAAGAGCUACUCUAAAUUUAAUACCGUUGAUACUUCGGAAAUGCAUUUUUGCUAUAUUGCCCGUUAAAAAUACACAUUACGGAAAUGAUACUGUAACGUUCCAUUAAAGUACAAUCGUUACGAUUUUUUACGAUUGUAUAAUAUAUUGUUAUAAUAAUAAUCUGUUUAUUUUUAAAAAUCACGAUAGCCCUGUUACCUAUAAUAUUUGGAUAGUCUGUAAAAACUAAACAGUAUUUUUGUUUGACUAAAGGUCUAUACUAAUCUUUAUAAAGAAAAAAAUCGUUCAAAUUAUAUGCAAGACGAUUUUUUUCAAAACUUAUUUACGUAUUUAUCUGUUAAGUUAUUACAUUAUACGAAUAAUACCUAAUCAUUAAUGAAAUCAAUAAUUAUAUACAAUAUAUUAUUAUUAUGUCAAUUACAAUUUUACGAAGGUCAGUUGUAUUAAAUUAAUUGCUUUCGGCGUGUAAUUUUGCAUAAAUUCAUUAAAAUAGAGUUUAAGUACCGUGGCACUAAUAUAAUAAAUUACUUAUAUUUAAUUACACACAGAUCACGUGAGUAGUCGUCUUUAACAUAAUUUCAGGAAAAAUUAACGACUAUUACUAAUAGUGCAUUUUUUUUUUUUUUUUAUUCGAAUUUAAAUUGUUAGAAAUAUAGGUACGGAUUAUAUUAUUUUAUAUUAAAUUGAUCACAAAACUUCGAUUUUAUUCGAUUGAAAACAAAUUCAAAUUUCGGCUAAAGAAAUGAAUUUGGAAAUGAUAAUGAAAGUUAGAUUUAACAUACAAGAUAAAUACUUACUGCGGGUUAUUUGCACGUGUUGAGUGCUAACCCUUUAAUAAGUUUUAUAUAGUAAGUCAUAUAUGAGUUCAUCAGUACGAAAAUUCUAAACAUUUUGUAAAUAACUCUAUAGACUCGAGAUCAAUAUUAAAGACAAGAAAGUGUCUAGCCUAACAAAAUCUAUACGACAAAAACACAAAAUUCUUAAAAAGAAAAUUAAUUGUUUACUGAAUUCUUCGCCGCAAACACUCAUUACUGACAUUUAUAAGAGGAUUUACCCCUUCCCCUCCCUUAUUUCAAUUCAAUAUUCUUUUUUUAACUUCCAAUUCACUCUAAUUACUAAUAAUUUUGUUCCUCACCGUCUCUUAUAAAUAACCUAUAUCUACGUAUCUGGAUAUUUCAUGAUAAAAAAUACAUACAUAAUAAUAUAAUACAAUAUAUAAAGGUACAUAAAAUAUACUUAUUACAUACUUAUUUAUUUUUUUUUUUUUUAUAGUAAAGUUUAAUUUUGUUACCCAUUUAAUGUACAUUUUUAGGAAAGUAUUAGUUAUUUCAAAUAAUCAUGUACCUAGAACCACAAAAAAUACAUUUUCUCCUCGAGAAAUUAUGAGUUCAAUCUAUUGAUUUGUAAUUAUCGAAACAAAAUAGCCGAAUUAAAAGUACCCAUCUUUUUAUUUUUGUUUUUAAAUAAAAAUUUUUUUUUUAAAUACGUAUUACAUUUUCCCAUUCAAAUAUGUAUGUACUUGUUCAAAUUCUACUCAAAACUUCAAUAUUAAUGUAGAAACAAUCUUUGUACCUGAUAAUAAUUAUAUAAAAACAGAACCAAUGCAACAUUUGAAAAACCUAAUUGAUUUUAUAAUGCAUACAUGUUGAUUCUUUCUCGUGACUCAUGAAAAAUUACUGUGAAAUAUCGGUACCAAUUAUUAUAAUAUUAUAGGUAUAAGUACACUAAUUACUACGAAUAAUAAAAAUAAUGAUCCGCGCGCGGUAAUUGUCGUUAAUUUUAUACAAUUUAAAUAAUUUUAUCUUUACAAAGUUGGUUUUAAAAUGUAUAUUAUACUUACAUUAUAUUUUAUUAAUUAUAUACAGUGUACCUGUAAGUAUCCCGGUUAAAUAAUAUACUAUAAUAUAUAGGCUAUAGGUACCCACUUAAUUAAUAUGGUAGGUACAUAAAAAAAGAUUUCAUAAUAUUUAUAAUAGGUUUUUUUUUUCUUCAAAGACUGACGUAUUUGAUAUAUUAUAUAAUUAGUCACGGAUUUUUUAUUCUCGGUAAUUAUACCAUGUAUAAUACAUACAAUUCAAAUAAUUCAAUCAUCACUAUAUAUACUUAUACAAUAUUAUACUAUACCUACACCUAUACGUAUAAUGACGUUAUAGAUUAUAAUAAUAUUUAAUAUCUUGAAACUCAAUGAAGUGUGUAAAUAUAAUAUAAUAAUAUUAUUUCAAUAAUUUUAUCCAAAUAACCUUUAAAAACAAACAUUUCAUCAGCAUAAAUAAUAUAGUAUACUAAAAGUUUUUUGCCAACAGACACAAUAAGGAAUUAUUAUAUCCCUACUGUAUGUACAAAAGUGGGAUGUUGAAAAUUGCAUACAAAUUGACAAAGACAAAAUGUUUUAUAAUUUUGUUCGUGUGUGAACCCCGAUUGUCGAAAAUAAACCAUUCUUAUACAAUACUAAAAUAAUCCAAGUUCCCACGUUCGAAUAAAGCCUGUACGUUUUGCGAUAUUAUAAUCUUUUAUACACAUUACGUGUAUCAUAAAAAAAGAGCUCGUUAUUAAAAUGUGACAUAAAAAAAAAAGUAAUAUAGACCUACCUACGCGAUUCACUCUGAUAUAAUUAUCAAAUAAAUCGAUUAACACUUUUUUUAUGCAUAUAAAAUCGUGUGUAUAAAUGAAUAAAAAACUACUGUUGUAUUUAAGUACUUGGUUAGGUUUAUAUUAUGAAUAUCGUUUGUUUUUAUUUAUACUGUUUAAUUUGCAUUCAAAUUUUGUUCCUAUAUGGUGUAUUAUUUGCACGACUUGGCAAUUUCUUAUGUACACCCGUGAGCUCCGUUACGAGAGUCGAAUUUUCCCACACUGAUUUUGUAUUCAAUAGAAAUAUUCUUCGUUAGAAAUAAAUAACCGAAUCUUAUAAUAAAAUAAUGUCAUACUAUAUUAAUACUACGUACAACCUACCUUCUACUUCUCAAAAAAUUGUGAAAUUAAACAUACAAAUGGUAAGGUGCGGGGGUUAAAAAUUGAAACUUCCAGAAGGCACAUCAUUAAUACUAACAACAUACGUAUACAAAAUUUUACCAGCCCCGACUCAAUUUAGAAUGUCUGCAUGGAUAUUAAAGGGCGUGUGCAAUUCGCGCCAAAAACAACCCUGAAAAAAUCUAUGUAAGUAAUUUGCGCUAUAUCUAACAAUUAAUUUUGGAAAUUUGCACCACUUUUUAAGGUUGUAUAUUACGCCACAUAAAACUAAAUGAAAGAGCAUUAUGUAAUCUUUGCCAUCUUGUACCUACAAAAAUUGUAAUUUGCACCAUUGUUCAUCUUAUUAAAAUUGUAAUUUGUGCCUCUUCAAAAUAACUAAACAAUAUUUUUUUAACAGAUUAACAUAUUGUAUUUUUAAUCAUUGAUCAAUCUAGUUCAUUUUAAUAGUUAGUACUUUUUGUUUAAUAAAUAGGUAAUACAAUUUCGUUUAGUAAUGAAACAAAAAUAUCAGUAAUAUUAUAAUUAUAAUUAAAUGUAUAUAAGUAUACGACUUUAUGUAUAAUUCAUAUUAGAUUAGACUUAGAUUAGAUAGACGUAAUCGAUUUUGUCUCUGCUUAUUAUUAAUAGAAUACAACAAUAUUAUAUUAGAUCGAUGCAAUAUCAGUAAAUUAUUAUCAGCUGGUAAAUUCUAACAAUUGAAGUUGAAAGUGUGGCGCAAAUUACAUUGCAAAUUCAUUUUCUGUCUUGGUACAAAUCACCAAAAUUAAUUUUUAGAUGUGGCGCAAAAUACUUGUUAUAUUUACAUACGCACUUGAAUGUGCCUAUUGAUGGCGAAAAUUACAAGUAAUAAAUUUAGCGCAAAAUACCAUCUCUCAUAUUAAAAACUGAAAAACACUUUCCUUCCGCAACGACAUAUUGAAAUCCAAUCCAUCUUUUAUUACUCCGAUCUGCCUAUAAAACAUCUCUAAUUCUAUAUUAAUGAUAUAACUAAAGGUAUUUUUAGAAUGUUGAAUUUCAAAUAAUUAACUAUACGGACAAUAAAAUUAAUGGUAUUAACACUUUAUGACUAUUAUACAGUUUAUCUAUUAUGUAGAUUUAAUAUUUUCCUGUAAUGUGUAAGAAUUUAUUUUUUUAUUUUUUUUUAUCAAAUCCGUAUUCUACUUUGACUGACCUAUACAGAGAAUAUCGAUAAAAUCGAUUUAGCCAUUAUUAUUAUUAUUUUUAUUUGGUACCUAUUAAAAUACUUUUAGCACAUUAUUACUUCAUAAAUUAUUUUUUAAUUAGUAAUACCUAUAGAUUAGGUACCUAGGUAUACAAAUAUUAAUACCUAUAUGUAAUACAAUAAUAUCGGUAUAAACAUAAGUGUCUUAAGCAAUUCACAACUUACCGUGUAGACAUUAUACAAAUUAAUAUUAUACGAAAAUAUAAAUAAGUUAUUUUAGAUUUCAUAUUAAAAAUUGUGUUAGUAUUAAAUAUUUAAAAACUAAUCGAAUUAAGUAUCCUAACACUGAAAAUGUAUCACUUGAAGUAUACUCGUAUAAUAUUUCGCCCGUCAGUCUUCAAAAGUAUUUUUAGCAUAAUUCGCAGACGUCAACGUUAAUAAUCAAAUAUUUAUAAAAAUUGUAUUUUAAUGCCCACUCAACUGCACCUAUAUACGCUAUAUACCAUAUAAAAUAUUUCUCAAUUGCGUAAGUUAACAAUAUUUGGGUAAUAAUUUAUCAUUAUGUAUACGUGUUUAUUGAAUAUAAAUGAGUGAGUACGUUUCCAAAAUUAUUCAGAUAUUCAUUCUUAAUUAUUUUAUACAAAUUUCCUUAACGGAACGAAUUUAAAAACAUUGAAAAAAAUAUAUUAAUCAAGGACGGCCGGAUUUGUUUAUUAAUACGUUUUUCUUUAAACUUUGUAAUUCAUAAUCAUCGCGAAUUUGUAGUGAAAAUGCUUUUUUUUUUUUAGCUUAUACGUUACUCCGUUGCCAAAAUUGAUCAAAUCAAUUCAAUGAAUCAGAAUAUAAAAUGAAUUUCUUAAAUACAUAGUAUUAAUCAAGGACGGUCGGUCUCGUUUUUUCCCAUUGAGUUUUGUUUGUUUUUAUUUAAUUUGUCGUCAUUGAGAAUUUAUAUUAAAAAUUCAUUUUAUUUUUUUUAAGUUUAUAAUGACGCAAAUACGUACCUAUAGUCUCUAUAGAUUUUUAGUCAAAGUUUGAAUUUUAUGUAAUAAAUAAUAAUGAUCACAGUUUAGAAUUUUUUUUUUACAUUUUCAAUCCCCCACCUCUAUGUUUAAGGUAUUCUUUUCUUUUUUUUUUAAUGCGUUUUAUAGUAAAUACUAUAACCAAUCAUAAUCAAUUAUCAAACUAUAAUCAAACUCCGCUUAUAAUCGUUUUUCGUAAGCAAUGAUUAAUCGUUGCAUACAGAUAUACAUUGUAUUUCCCCUUUGCCUUUCCAAUUUUCUCAUAAAACAGUGUUCCACCCAUCAUACAAAGUAUGUCCGUUUUUUUUUUUAUUUAUUCAUUGAAAAAAAAUCUUUUUAAAAUAUUUAUCUGUAUUUGUUAAAAAAUUGAGUCUUAGAAUUUUAAGUGCAUUUUGAGUUGCUUUGUUUAGGGUUGUUUUUUUUUUUUUUAUGUAUAUUCAUUAUUCAUACAUUUUUCACCAGAAAUCUUGGUCUAAUAAAAAGUCGAGAGAGUUUAAAAUUGUUAAAAUCACAAGAUUUCUUAAAAUAUGUAAUCGAAAUCGGCUCAAAAUAAUUUUUCAUUAAAUUACUUAUUAUAUCAUAUAUCUUUGCAACUUCUCAACUUUACAACAAUUGUACACCCAUCAGCAGUAUUAGCUCUGAUAUUUAAUAAAAAAUUGAUAGAAAUUAGAUUUAUUUUUACAAGUAAUACAUUAUUAUCGAUAGGUUGAAUUAUAUUACAGGUGUAUAAUAAUACGGAUAAAAGAUACAGCUAGAUAUACAUGUAAGUAGUAAAUUGUAUUGAGGAAUGAUUUCUCACGGGUCGUAUAAAUAUUUGAAUAGUAGUACUCCUAUUCGAAUAUCUUCUUUUAUCUUCCUAUAUCGUUAUUUUCUUAGAAUAAUACUGCGCAACAGUAUUCAAUAUAAAUAUGUGUUCGUCGGUUUCGACCUGGUUUGUCCCUGCACCCGAAUAACUAACAAAAGGGAUUAUGUACGUAUAUAUUUUACACAAAUACAGGGUGAUUCUUUUAUGAUAAACCUUCAGCGAUCAUUACUAAAAAUGUUAGUAUAGUAACAUUUUUGGUAAAUUUUUUUUUCCAGUCAUGCGCUAUAGAAUCGUUUAACGAGUUUAUUUUCAAAAUAUAAACCUUCAUAUAUUCAAUCGGUAUAUUAGUAUUUUUUUAAAUUCAAAAAUAUCAUGUUUAUGAAAUCCUUUCGUAUACUAUUAUUCAUAUUCGUCUUCGAUAUAAAUCAGUUUUUUAUCGUUUUAAUCUAAAAUAUUCUCUCUUCGAAUCGUAAUUUACAAAAAAAAAAAAUAUGUGUAUAAGGGAUUGCUAUUUGAAAAUCAACAGAUAUUAUAGUGAAAUUAUAAUGAUGUAAUGAUGCGUUUAUGAUGGUGAUAUACUGAAUUAAGGUGAAUUAUUGAAAACGAUGAAACGAUUUUGUAUAUGUUUGAAAAAAAAUAACUAAAAUUUUCGUAGAUAAUCGCUGUUUCGUGGUAAACUAAUACACCCUGUAUAUGAUUCGUUCAUGCGCGGGCGUAAUCGUGUGUACAUAUGUACAUAUAUAUGUAGGUUUAUAAUAUAAAAGAUUUAAUUUAAUACAAUUUAUCAGAUCCGUCCUGUUAAAAGAAUGUCAUUAUACGGGUCUCCGAAAUAUUGCGCGUCCAUCACACAUUAAAACCAAAACGUCUGUUAAAUAUUGAUACGAAUAACGCGUGUCAAAAUCAGUGGUGUGAAUUGGCCUUAAUUUGUAAUGGUGGAUAACUUUUCGUUACGGUUAAUGGGAAUUAAAACGUUAAUGUAAAAGCUUGACAAAAAAACCGAAAUAGAAAUUGUUAUAGGAGAGUCGGAUUUUUAUUUUGAAAAAAGUUCCGAAAACAUUUUGCAAUAUAUACAUUAUAAGAAUGGGAAUUGAGGACAUUUUUUUUUAAACUAUAUUUAAACACUUUUAAAAUUCAAAUUCACGUGAUUUUAUAAAUUUUAUAAUUCAUAAAUAAAUAAUAAAACAAUUGUUUUUAAUUCUGAGUAUAGCUAAGAAUUUAUUGGUUUUAAAAAGAUGUACUUUUUUUUUUAUGUAACACUUUUUACUAGUAAGCUUACUCCGAUGAUUUUCUAAAUAAAAAUAAAAAAAGAAAUAAAAAUUACUAGGGAGGUAGGUAUUUUAAGAGGUCGAUUUUCUCAGGAAUUUUCUCAACAAAUGUGAAAAAUCGACAAAACCGAGGAAAAUCUGAAAAGUGUGCGAAAUGUAGGUAUUAGUUUAAAAAUAUUACGACCUUCUUUUUAUUUAUGAACAACUUUUCUACCAGAAAUUUUGCUCCGAUUUACAAUCAAAACAUUUUUUCUGAAAGGAAAUCUGACUGGGAAGUUACUCUAAGGGAGGUCUUUUUUGAUUUUUACAGGAGUUUUCUCAACAAAUGUGAAAAACCGGAAUUGAUUUAGGAAAAAUGGAAAAAUCGGUAUAAUAUUAAACAUUUAUUAUUGAAGAAAAUAUUUAAUGCCUAUUUAAUUAUUUUACCAUAAUAUGACCUAUAUAUUGUUGACAAUGCAUCACUAUCAACUGAACUCCGCUCAGAAUGUUUUUUCAUUAGCAAUAGUUUAUCGUUACUUACAGAUGUACACUAAAUUCUCUUCUGUAUACUACCUUCCUAACUUCCCAUCUACAACAGUGGCUGCUCCCAAGUCCGAAUUUUGUCUGUAUUUUUUUAUUAUUAUUAGACUUUUUAAUAUUAAACUCGACCGCGUUAGGUGGAUAAUUUUCAGUUACGUGUGGACAAGCUUAAUUAUGAUUUUAUAUGCUGUGUACAAAAGUCUGUUUAAUUAAUCGCUUUUAAUUCGUAGAAACCGUCUAAUAGACACUCAAAAUUUGUAUAGGUACAAUUCGUAAUUUAUGUAGUUAAUUAUUAUUUGUUUAUUUUAUCAUAGUAUAGUGUAUUAUAUCUACGUUUUUAAUUAAUGAAAUAAUCUAAUCAAUUAAUAUGUUUGCGUCAUAUCGACUAUGCUAACAUUGUAAUUUACUCAUUAAUGAGUAGAACACAAUGUUGUUUCGUUGAUUGUCAUGCACAUAAUAAUAAUAUUGUAUGGAAAGUAAAAAUAUUAUAUUAAAACGUCGUAAUACUGUUAGUAAUAAUCAAACGGGUUUCUGUGUCACACUCGUUAAAUUGUCUUGUAUAUUAUUUAAAUUAAAAUAUGUAUGAUUUGUCGCAAAUCUUUUCGUGGACUGGACGACGUCCAAAUUUGUAAAAUGCGUCCGGAUUGCGGCGAAUUUCAACGAAAAUACACGAUCAAAUAAAUUCAUUUCUUUAAUAUAAGGAAAUCAUAUUGACUAACUAUAGUAUAUGCGAUUAGUUUGUCGAUAUAUAUUAAAAUUAAUAUUAUCCUAUAGAAUAUAAAAAAGUAGUCACGUAUUAAAAAAUGUAAAUAUUUUUUUAAUCGAGUAGUAUAGUGCUGUAUUGCAGUGUCUGAAAAAAAAAUGUAUUUUAUGUAUUAUAGUCGUCUGUUUUGAGAAAAGAAAAAUAUUUUUUAUAUUGUGUGUAAUAUAAUAUUAAGGUGUUACAAUAAGAUUUAACUUAAUUCUGUAAUUGUCCAUUUUUUUUAAAAAUUCAAGAUCCGGACAGACCAAUAUAUAGGUAAUAUUAUCAACGUGUUAAUAUAUUUCAAACACAUCGUAUCUAUUAGAUAAUUACUCUCCUCUAUUUGAUAAUUGUUUUAGUUUUGCGUUUUAUGAAUAACCUAUUUGCUGCAUCUAUUCAGGAUGAUUAACACAACAUAAGGCACUCGUCAUCUAGGAAAGUAUUAACAUUUUUCAGAAAAUUUAAGAAACGAAGCCACCUUAAAAUAUUACAUUGCCGCUAUUUGUACGAGUAUAUAUAAUAUUUAUGUUACUAUCCACAGUUUCAAGGGUCGCGGGUCUGUUUAAAGGUGACUCACGAUUGUAAGGAUCGCUACAUAGCCACACGGUGACUCACGAUUUUAACCGUAACUAAACUAAACCCCUCGAAGCGAUUUUAGGCUGCAGGACGAGAGAUUAAUUAUUUUCCACUGUUGUAGGCAGGUUUCGGCGUGUGCAAGUAUACCGCGUAAAAUACCUGCUCAGUUAGUUUUGGAGAGUGACGCAUUCAAAAUAUUUUGUGUUCUAAUUAAAUAAGUAUAGGUAACUUAUUUGAAAAAUAUCGCAACGAUAGUCUCACGGGCAACUAACAAGUCAAAUAAAAAGUAAAUUAUACCUAUACGUGAUCGCCUUCUUUUUAUGUUAUAAUAAUACAUUACAAUGAUUUUAACGGAACAUUUAUGUGAGUUUCAAUCGUGGAUAAAACGGAAUAGAUUAAAAUAGUGGCCCGAGCUAAUAGAUAGGUAAUAUAAAAUUUUAUAAUACCUAAUUAUAUACGAAUCGUUAUAGAUCCUAUAGUAAUUGUUACUAAGUUAUAUUAUUUUAAUUGGGCUUAAGUAUAGGGGUAAUGAAUAGAAAUGUAGAUAGUUGUACGAUAGUAUACAAUUUUAAUUAUUUAAAGUAAUAUAUAUAACGUGCCAUUAAAUAAGAAAUCAGUCAGUUAAUAUAAUAAUACGUAUAUUAUAAUAUAGUCUUCCGUAGAACGAAUUUCAAAUAAUUCUAAUAAACUAUAACGGUCCGUUUUUUUUCUGCAACGCUUGUGUUAUAUCACGUUACAUCAUGUUAAUUAACUAACGAUCUUAAAUGUUCUAAAAUAUCUGUUUUGGUUUUAAUACGAGAAAAAAUAUAGUACCUAUUAUAAUUUUCGAGACCCUUCAAAAAACCGUUCGUUUAGCAUUUAGCACGUGCAAAAUGACGAAAAUGAUACGAUGAAUUUUGUUGCUCAGUCUUAAACGAGUGAUUCAAUACCGCCGUACCUGAAGAAUGCACAUAUAUACAGAAAUACCUAGCAAAAAUUAGUUUUUAACGAUUCAUAUUAAUGCUGAAUUACAUACAACUUUUCAGAACCGAUUACUGGUUAUCAGUUUUGUACAAUUUGCAGAGCUAGUUUAACCACGGAAUAUGUUAUAAUUAGUUUCUUUAUUAUUUAAUUAUAGUUGUCCUAUCACAUAAAACGUAAUUUAAUUUUCUUGUUAAUGAGUCGUUAUUUUAUGUUGUUUCAUAUGUUGUUACAUAAAAACUAAAAAACAAAAAUUGUCAGUUUUUUCACCCGUAUCUCUUCAUAUGGGCCUGUUAAAGAUAUUAUAAUGAUUUUUUAACGUUUUGAUUAAUCUACUUAAGUGGUUUAGAGAUAAAUUAUAUUCUUUUGAAGACUAAUGAUUUAGAUUUUAAAAAUAAAAAUAAACUUUAUUAUUUACUCUUUGUUCAAACGUUAAACAAUUUAUGACUUAUUAAAAUUAAAAUUUCAUUUUUAUUACAAAUAAAAUUAUUAUAUUAACAUUGUAAUAUUUGAUAUGGAUAAAAUUAUUAAUUAAUGUGUGUUACCAUACAUGGAUAGAGCAUUUCCAUUUAAACAAUUCAAUAGAUAUUUUCGUAAAAUGCAAUCUGUUCAAUAACGGUAAUUUUACAGAACCGAUUAUUAAACUAAUAAUUUCGAGAACUGUUUUCAUGCAACCUGAAAUUCGAGUUCAAGAAGUGAUAAAAUACAAGUUUUAUACUUAUAAUAAUAUAUUCAUUUAUGCAGAAUAAAUUAUUUGUUUAGGGUUGGGGAUUUUUUUUCAAACGGUCCAAUAUCUCCUAUAUACAGAGACAAAUUGAAUAAUUCUCCAUCAAGUGCGUUUGGAUUAAUAAUUAUUGUUUGACAGUUUACCGGCAAUAUUACGGUUUUUGAUCAUAAUUUGCAUAGUCACUGUACACCAUAAUAUAACGGUUGUAAUUAUACAACUUCAAAAGAAAAAGGAGGAAAAAUGUAUGUAUACAUAUAAUCCUUUAUUAAUAUCGAGUAGUUUUACACACGCAUACAAGGAACUUUUUUUUUACACAACACACACGUGUCGCUAACAUGACAUGCGCAUUGCUACACGGAGGUACGUGUGUUUUAUGUGACAAUGUGCGUGCGUUCAUAAGAAGAUUGACCGAUGCACUUCUUUCACGGUAAAAUGAUUGUGUUGUCGUGUACAAGUGCGUGUUAGAGUGCAAGUGCCCGUGGCUCAUACGUGACCGGAGAAUAACAAAAAAAAAAAAACAAACAAUGUUCAAUAUUGUAGUUUUAAGUGAGAAGAUUUAUGAAUGAAAAAAAAUCAACCUCCGUCAUAUCCGCUACCUCGCCGUCAGAGAUUAUAACGUAAUAAUAAAAUUAAAUAUAUAAAAUUAAUAAUAUUAUUUAGCCGCGGCCCGUAUUUAAAAUAAAAUAAAUACAAAAUUAUUUCAUCUAGUAAUCACAAAGCCCGCAAGGAAAAAAAUCGUUUCUUGCCCGUAGAUUCAUAUUAUUAACAAAUUAACCGAAAUUUUCAUCAAUUAUCAUCUAGAAAACUAUCUCAACAAGCUUGGGUUAGCAAAAUUGCACACUGAUAAGUACAGUAUAAGGAAAUACAAAAGAUUUUCGAAUUUAUAGUGAAAUAAUAUCUUGUCUCAUUUUGAUAGUUUUAGUUAAACCAAGUUCCGUUUGGCCGUCGAGUGCAUUAUAUUGAGUUCUAGAGAAAAUUGAAAUACUGCAGUCUAUUUAAAUUAUACUUGCGUCCUACAAGUGAAGGUUCGCUGGAAUAUUUCUAACAAUUCUUUAUUUUUUUUUUUUACGGUUAGCAGUGGUAGCACGAAGGAGAAAUAUUUGAAUCACGUGAUUCACAAAAAGAAAAGGGUGGCUGAGUGUUCAGAAAUAUAACAAAAAUUAUUAAGUUUUUACAAAGCAAGUAAUUUAAAGAAUUUUAGACUUCGAAAAUGUAUGGUAGGAUGAGUAGAAAAUUAAAUCGAUGGUUCAAGGUAAAAAUACUUCCUUCCAACAUUGGUGGUUAGUAAAUAUUUAAACGAUGAAUAAUACUGAAUAAAAAAUGUGAAGUAAGCAUUUUUAUUUUUCAAUAUAUCUAUAUUAAAAUAAAUUAUAAUUGCUAUAAAUACAAAUGAGUGUAAUAAAUGCAUUUAGUACUUUAUUUAUUAUAACAUGGGCGUUAAAAAAUUAUCAUUUUCAACUGUUUCACGUUUCACUUAACAUAACCUAAUUUUCAUUUUUACCGUUUUCGGAAUAAGAUUAAUUCGUUUGGGACUAUGAUUGUGUUUGAUUAUGUUUAGUUCUGUUUUCCCUUUUUUGUUGAAUGUACGGUAUUUUGAAAAAGAGCUGCACACUAAAUACCGCAUUAUUGGGAAAUUUCCAUUACAUGAGGACGUCACGUUCGCCCGUGCUGUUGCCAUCUUAACAAACUCUCGACAUAUUAAAAUUUCGUUUAGCAAGAACAACUUUUUGUUGUUAAUUUUAAUAUUAUAGUGAAUCGAUCUAUAAUACAAUUUAACAUUAACUGUGCAACUACGUCGGUUUUUUCUCGGUAUUUACGUUUACAUUUUUAAGCGAAUUAUACGUAUGAGAAUGCGAAAUAGCACGAUUAAAAAAUGUAUAUAUCUCGCUUAAAUAUUAAAAUAUCAACCGAAAAAGAUUACAAAGAAUGUUGUUAUGUUUGACAUUAGGUCGAUUCAAUUCAAUAUUAACUUAUAACGGCGUAAAAUUACAGGUAAACCUACUGCACGUAAAUUUGCCAAGUCGUACGUUAGUAACACACGGAGGCACACGCGGUUGUAAUGCCCACUUAAUGAGGUACAUUGUCAAGUGCGUUGAAGAAUAAUAUACACUGUAGCUUAGAGAAUUUCCCAGUUAGACGACAAAAUAGGUAUUAUAUCCUUAUAAUAUUUAAUAAUAAUUAACCUAGGUUCACCGUUCACCCAAACACUGCAAGGCCUAUACGCGCACGCGCGACUAUGGGUUUAGUUCAACGACCACCAGAAGGUUAUAUUGUAUUCGAUUUUGUAUAUUGUAUACGUAUAAUAAUAAUAAUAUGAUUACCGUGCAACACUAUUGAAAACAAAAUUAUAUAUAUCGAUAUCGGAUAAUAUUCAGAGAGACACGCGACCGUUAUUUUUUGCCAGGUAACAUAAUAUAUUGGCAUUCAUAAUAGUAUACCUACAUUUUUAAUAUAAUGAUAUUUGUUUCCCUUCUUGAAUCUGUCAGGCAGAUACCUAUACUAUAUUCGAGUCACUAUAUAAUAAUAUAGUAGAAUAACACUAUUAUAAUAGUGCAGUACGAAUUUAUGCAUAGUGAAACACAAAACAAAAAAAAAAAUGUGCAGCCAAUUCUAUAGGUAUUAGAGAGGUACCUAUGUGUGGUUCGGAUUUCAAUGCAAAGUGCAUUUUUUUCUACUGCUCUAGGACAAUGCGUCCUAAGUGUACGUGAUUGGAUUCGGGCAUGACGGAUACUUCAAGAGUGAAAUUUUUUCAUAGUUUUUCCAUAGAAUAUGGGUCGUAUUUUACGGGCAUUAAGCGGUUGAUGAGCAUUUUUUUGAAAUUCAUUUUGAGAUUCUGAGCGAAUUGAGGAAAGUAUUGAUUUUUCAAUGAUGUUUAUUUUAUUUUUUUAUAUACUUUGUACAAACAUUCUAAAUUUUUAUUAUGAUUUUCAAAUAUAACACUUUUUCUGAAAGGAAAUUUGACCUAUACUCUAAGGAGGUAACUUUUUGAUUUUCCCCGUAGUUUUCAUAAUAAAUGGAAAAAUCAGGAAAACUUAGGAAAAUGGGUACAUUUAUGAAAAUAAUGCUUUUUUUAUUUUAUAUUUUUUUUUCUGUAAUUCAGUUCAAAAUGUUCGUAGAAACUUUAAAUUUGGACAGAAACCUUAUGUAGACGUGGCAAAAUGUUCAAAAUAUAUGAGCUAUUUAUAUAAAUUUUAAUUUUUAUAGUUUUUAACGUAAUAUUUAUUCGGUAAGUAUUCUGUGGAUAAAAUUGUUAGAUCAACCAGAUAUGCUUAAAAAUUUAACAGGAAGUUCAUUGUAAGUUAUACUAAUGGUCGACAAGAAAAAGUUGAGUUUAAUGUAUAGUAUUUUUUUUUUUAUAGGGAUUUUAUAGGAAAAUAGUAAAUAUUGCGGUUUUUUAAAAGAUGUAUAACCGAACUCAGCUCAGAAUCGUUUUUCGUUAGCAAAUUCACUUCUAUAUCCUACUUUUCCAACUUCUCAUCUACAGCAGUCGCCCACCCAUCGUGCGAAGUAUGUCCGUCUAAUUGAAAAUAGUUUUUAGGAUAUUUAAAUCCGAUUCAUAAUAAUUGUAUGUACAACAAAUCUACAAUUUCCAAAAGGUACCUUGUCAUUUGUAUUUCGAAUUUGUAAUCCAUCAUUGUUACAGUUACCGUGAUUUCAAUAUUCGAUCUUUGAAAAUCAAAUAAAUCCCAAGACCUUGAGUUUUGAAACAUGUGACAUUAAAAUAUUUGGUUAGUAUACAAUUUUAUAACCCUCCGUGUCGUGUCGUCGUAAGGUAUGUCGGCUGCAGUAUUCGUUUCCGGUAUAUUCAUCGUAUUACCGCAUGAAACGUUAAUAUUCAACUGUCCACGUGAUUAGCAUACAACGUUAUUUUAAUAUUAUAGGUACCUAUAAAUACCAGUUAUCUAUUCGGUACGCGGUUUGGAACCUUUAAAAUAUUGAAUAUUUAAAAACAAAUUAAGAGAUAAAAAUAUUAUUAAAAAAAACCUGCAUAGGUAUAAAAGCUCUAAAUAAUAGUAUAGUGUUUCACAAACACCGAAAACAAUACUAUUUUAUUUUAUAAUUCUAAAAAUCGGAUGCAUUUUGUAAUUCGUAUUUCUUUGUAAAACUAAACAAGACCACUACCAUGUGCACAAAUUAUGUAUAUAGUAGGAAUUUUGUAAAACUUUGCAAAGAGAAAACGCAGAUUUUCAAUACCUUCCAAGAAAAUCCUGAAUUAUGAGACUGUUAUAAUCUUUGGAUCUUGCAUUCUUUCUUGAAAAAAUUAAAAAUAUGUCCCAUUGUUCAUACAGUUUUACAAGACUGCUGAUAUAUUAUGUUUUGUUUUUACUUAAAUGAACAUAUUGAAAAAUAUGGGGGACAUUACAAGAUGGAAAUCGAGAUCAAAAUGACCCAAAGAACAAUCUUGACAUCAGUGGUCGAAUGGAAUAAAGGAACACAUGAUUGAAGUGAUGUAAAAGAGAUAUCAAUAGCCAGGGAGAAAUGGAGAAUUACUGUUAUUGUAGCAAUAGGCCUUUAUUAUAUUUAAUAUGUUUAAAAAUAAUAAUCGUAAUAACAAUAAGGUUUUUGUGUAUAAUUUAACACAAUGUCUGUUAAUCUUUACUUGUACAAGUAUAAAUCAAUAGUCUUGUUUUAUACCCUUGAAUCAUAUGCAUACAAAUUGGUCAUAAUAAUAUGCUUACUAUGUAUAAUUUCAACAAUACACAUAAUAUUGCAUCAUGUUAUAAUUGUUCUACUUGUCUAGGUACAAUUCCAAAGAUACGAGUAAAUUGAAUAUCGUUUUAGAAAGUUGGAGAAAAAACCUAUUAAUCUUUUACAGAAAUGACUCAUUUUUCAACAUAUACUAAAUUAAAUACUAUAAUUUAUUCAUAAAUCUGCUAAUAUAAUUAUUACCUUAUAAACAAGUCGCUUGUAUACUACUGUCUGAAUAUACCUACUCCAACACCAUAUAUUAUUACCAUUAAAUAAUCCAUAAAAAAAAAAUUAAAAAUAAUAAUUAAAUUAUAUUAACAUUGACGAUUCUCAGUAUAUAACGUUUGACCUUAAGACCUCCUAGCGUCUGUAGAAGUAAUGCGACAAAACUAUUACGGUUAAAUUGAAAAUGACUGUUUUAAUUUUUGAAACUCCCAAAAUGAGUGUGUUCAAAAAAGGGUGUUCUACAGUUAUCUGUAUAAUAACUCUAUAUAUUAAUUUUUUUAAACGGGUUUUCUGUGAGUGGGAUACAUAUUUAGAGAAAAAUGUAAUUUUAAAAUUAAUAAAAUAGCCAUUUUGUGAAAUAUAUUGUUCAAAAGAUUUUAAUGUGUCCAAUCAUUUAUCUCCGAUUAAUAGUGCCUUAGUUAUAGUGGAUUUAAUGUAUAGAAAAUAGGCAUGAAAACAAUUAAUAUUCAAUAGAAUAUUAAGAACUACCGUGCUGAUUGUGAUUCCUUAUCGCGUAACGUGUUAUCCUAUUGAAGAUUAAUUGUUUUCACGCCAAUUGUUUAAGUAAAUUAAAAUGGUUAUUACUAAGAAACUAUUGAUCAGAUAUGAAUGCAUUUUACUUUAAAAUUUUUUAGAAUAAUAUCUCUUAAAAAAUGGUUAUUUUGAAAAUUUUGAAAAGUGAAAAAAUAAAAAGUAAUUUUUUCAGUGAUUAAGGGUUGAAAAUAAAAAUUGUAUUUUUCUCUACAAAUGUGUUUCUCUCGCAAAAAUUCCGAUUGAAAAAAAAAAUGAGUAUUGACAGAAUUAUUAACAUAAGGAUAAAACAGGACAACCUAUAUAGGUAAUCCCUAUUUUCCUAUAAAUUGGGAGAAUAAAAUACUAUAAGUACAAUGGCGUGUUUUGUGCUUAUUAAAAUACAUCAAUAAAAUUGAGACUCUCGAAAAUAUCUUUCUGGGUAAAAUAUUAUAAUAUUCAAUUUCUGAGAAAAACAAAAAUAGUUAAACGGGAGUAGCAAGAUUUAAGCACUUAAAUACUUAAUACAUAACAUCAUUAUUAUAAAUGUUUAUUGACAUAAUUCUAAAGUAGAACAAGUUAUAAAGAUCAUAUUUCUUAUUCAAUAAUUCAGAUAUUAUUUAACAAUAAAUAAUUGUUCAAAUAACCCAACAAAUUUUAAAUCAAAUAUGAUUAAUAUAUUUUAGGUAUAAAAAAUAGAAUAAUCGUUUAACAUUUUGUUAUUUCGCGUUCUGUUAUUUUGGAUUUGAUUUAUUUUUUUUCUGUUUUUUUUUAUACCUUUCAUAAGCAUUAAUCAAUUUAUGUAUACUAUAAUUAUUUUAAAACGAAUUUUGUAAAUCAAUAGUAGAAACAGCCGACGUGGUCAACGUGUUAAAAAAGGCAGUGAAUAAAGUUACUCAAUAUUUAACAAGGAAAAAAGACGAAGACGAGAUAGUUAGAAUAGCUAAUGGAAACCUUAGGGAAGAAAAACUAGAAGAAAACGUAGGAAAAGAUUUAUUGGCAUGGUAAAAAAGGAUUUUGAAAUCUUAGAAGUUGAUAACUGAAGAGAUUUAUUGUUCAAGAUAGAAACAGAUGGCGAAAUGUAGUUAUGGCGGCAAAAAGAGAGUGAUCGGGACAAAAGAAGAAAGAUAUCUUAUUAUCUUAAUUUUACUAAUAUUGCAUUCCGUUUUCGACUAACCAUUACCAUAAUAUUAUAUUUGCUGUUGGUUAGUGGAUUUCCGAUUGAUUUAAUAUUAAUAAGAGCAUUUACUUUAUCAAUGUUGCACUAAUGGGUAACAUAGACAAAUUAUGCAUUAUAAUCAGAACAAAGAUGUUGUGGUGCUUAGAUUUAAAUUAGAUCUUACAUAAAGAACAUAAUUAUUUUAAAAGGAGAAUAUUUUCGUUGGCAAUACGUUUCUGUAUUAUCUAAAAAUUGUCAAAUCACAAAGUUAAAGCCAUGCUAUUUAUUAAUUUUUUUUUGUCUGAUAAUAGUUUAGAGAAAAACAGCAGCAAUGUACUUAUUGUCCCCGAAAAUAUUCCUAUGUUUUGAAAGUGCGUAAGUUAUAUUUCGGUAAAACUCGGCAGCGUCGGUUGUAUAAUUUUAGUAAGUAUAAAAUUAAAUAAUACCAACAGCGGGCGUGUUUUUUGUGGAGAUGCGUUUCGAUACGACGCAGUAACAGUAGAUUUUUGGACACGAUCGUUGUUUUAUUUUUAUUUUUUUGUUUAUUCGAAUUUAUAUUAUAUUAUUCUGUCGUCUUUUAUAUAUCGUUUAAUUAAAAGUGAAAAAAAAAUAUAUUAUUGUAUGUAUACUCUCGUAUAAUGUCCUGUUCGUGUGGUAGACUGAGAAACGAAAAUAAUCAUUAGGUAUAUAUUUUAUACGGAUAAUUGAACGCGUUUUGACUGGUCCAAAGACAAAAAAUAAAAUAAUCUGGCAAUAAAUAUCAACAUGUAGUCGUAUAGCUAUUAUAGGCCUGCGGCCAUAUUAUUUCGAAGUCGUUAUAAUAUCGUGCAGCCCUCGUGUAAUAAUAUUUAUCACCUACAAUACAACCCGAGUUAUAGCAUAAUAUAUUUUUAACCUAACAGAACAGCUCUUGGACCGGGUCUUUUUUUUUCGUAUUAAUUAAUUUUCUCUUUUCUAACGUAUUUUAUACAUAAAUUCCCAUGUUCACUGACGCAGAUGGCUCUGCACACAGAAGACAUUAAAGUGAAAUGUUCCAUCGCUUGCGUCCCGCAUGGCCGCUGUUACUGCGCCAAUGGAAACAUCAGGAUAAUAUUCGAAUACAUUAAAUACAGACACGACCGCUUGUAUACAUAAAUAAACGCCAAAUCAUUUUUCCAUUGACUGACCGAGGAGCAGACAUUUCUUUUAGAAAAAUAAAAAUAAAACGUUUCCUGAAAUAAAAAUUUAAUGAUACGACGUAACGUCGUAUAAAAAUAUAAUUGAGUCGUUUGUAUGCACAUCACGUACUUGUAGGAUAUACAAACAAAUAUAUAUUUUUAUAGAGACUGAAAAAAUUAUUUAGAUUUCAUCGGAUAUACGAAAUUAUAAUUUGUAGAAUUACAUUUGUAAAACAAAUUAACAAAAAUAGAUAACAAAUAUUUAUGAUGUGUCCGUUUUUUUACGUUUCUCCAUUUUUCCAUACAUAGGAAGUACUAUAGGAGUGUUCUGACUUGUGAUAGGGGGAAGGGGGAUGUAAUACCUAAACUAAUUUUUCAAACAUUUUAUUCUCUAUAAGCACGAAGUAGGAAGCACAAUGUUUUUCUUUUAAUAAUACAUUAAUACAAAGUAAUUUUUUAAAAUCAUUUUCGUACUUGGUGUUUAAAAUUAAAUUUAAUAAGCUAGAGUCGUUAGAUUGGGGGACUUUGAAAUACUUCUACUGUUUUUGUUUUUUUUAAUAUUUUUAAGUGAUGUUUUAAUGGAUUUUAAUUGCAACAAGUCAAUAAGUUAUUUUAGUGUGUUUUUCUUUCGUUAAUUAAUAAUUAUUAAAUUAUGUUUAAAAAAUGGUGUAAGGGUAGUGUAUGAGGCAAAGCGCCCCACGGUUAGUAGUUUGAGUUCAAUAAUUACAAGGAACAAUAAUUAUUUUUAGUCUUAUAGUCCCUCGUAGUUUUUAUUUUUCCACUGUAUUAUGUUUUUUUUUUAUCAUUAUAAUCGCAUAAUAUGAUGCAAUAAUUAUAAUAUUUUAAUAGUAAUAUAUACAUACCUAUAUAAUAGAAUACUAAUCUCUAAAGAAGUUUUUACGUUUUAAUUUGAUACGGGUAGUCGGUGUAUGCGAGAGUACAUAUUACAUCAUUCGGUAUAGGUUUGAGAGAAAAAAAAAUAUAAUAUAUAAGACAAGUUUUGUGAAAUAUAACACGUCAGCCUCGCCGCUACAGGUUUGUCGUUUAUUUAGACGUCGUCGUUUAUCAUAUAUGAGUAAUAUUAUUUUAGGCCUCCAAAUUCAUGGUCUUUUUCUUAUAGGUUUAAAAGUUUUUUUUAUCGGCCAUGUCUAUUACAAAUUAUGAAUAAUGUUAAAAAAAAAAAAAGAAAAACUGCAAUACAGUAUAAUUGUUUUAUUUUUCAUUUCAUUUGUAUUGGUUUCGUUCGAUUUUUGAGGGAAACUCUAAAAAAUGUUUUCAAUAAUAUGUUAAUAUUUAAUGUGUACGUAAAUAUAGGCAAUUUGAUUACAUAUUAAAGUAUUUCAGUUAAGCUACGUUUUUGUAUGCCUAAAUAAAAGUAAUUAAUUUUCGUUUCAUAUGCAGUAUUUUUAAGUUAUAAUUCAACGAUUUACCUGUACUACAAAAGAAAAUGACCUAAAUUUAAAAUAAUAUACAUUUUCUUAAUAACUAUUGAAAAAAAGAAAUAAAAAACCAUUUCAAAUUAUAUGAGGUAUUUAUCGUCAUAAAUUUAAGAUAAAUGCAUUAUUAUUAUUUUAUAGUUAUAUUUUUUCCUCUAUGGAAGAUGUUUGUGGUUUUUUACGAAUAAUAAGUGUUUUAGUGUACCUAUAUAGGUGUUAAAUAAUAUAUUAUUAUAAUUAAGUCGUACUAACAGUAUAAUGUGCAAUGUGAAUUCUAAAACUUUUUUUUGUAAGUCAAUCGUGAAUACGAAUUUUCGAUAUUUUUCUAGUGCCAUAAAAAUAAUUUACGAUGAACCUUUUAUCAAAGUUUCAAACAUUUUUAAGAAACCGAAAAAUGGGAAUUAUUUGGAAUUCAAAAAAUUAUAAUAAUAAACAUUCUAACUAUAUAUUAUUAUUGUUACAUUAUCAUCUCAUGCCGUGGGAUGAAAUGUCGACUCAAUAAAUCCUUAAUAUGAUGAGGUCAUUUUGUUAUACUAAAAUUAUCAAAACCUAAAAGAUCACUUUUUAUAUUUCAGGCAUCAAUUUAUUGUACUCGUAUAGUUGCUUAAAAAGCUAAAAUUGUUCAACUUAAAAAUUUCGUUAGCAACUACCGUGAUUAUAAUAUGCUAAUUUACUAGCGCACGCAAUUGCACGAUGCGUUUUUUGCUAUCAGAUGAGUAAAUACUUUAUACUAGUUGCUCGUGGAAAACAUCUAUGUAUAAGCGAAUUAUUAUUUUGAAAUACCCAAUAUUUAUUAAUAGUUUUUAGAUAUGUAUUUAAAAAUAUGAUAAUAUUUCUAUUAUAAUAAAACAUAAUGUGAUCAGCGGUUCUAUCAAGAAUCAUCUAGGGUGAUCAUGGGGUCUUGAUCUCUAUCUCCCAAAAUUUGAAUAUAAUUUAUGAUUUUGUAUAAAUUGCUUAUACUUAUAUCUUAUACUUUUAAUGUAACUAGUUGUUAAAAAUGGACUCCCAUCAGGCACCAAAAUGAAAUCCUAGCUAUGUUACUGCUCGCCGGUCAAUUCCGCUCCCAUAAUAGAUAGUAGAAGACUUGUUAUUUUAUUAUGAAUGUCCGCUCUCAGUUGCAUUAUUACGAAUUUUGAUUGAAACGGAAGGACUUAACUGACGCUGAAGAGGUCUCGCCGUUAACAUUUGUUUUCUCAACUGUCUAUCUCGCACGUAUAUUAGAGCGACAAAGGUAUUUCACAUUCCCACGAUUGCGGCUCUCUGGUCGAAUUUAUGGAUCUAUUAUGCAUUUUGAAAGAAGAAAGACGAAAGAUCCUAUGAAGGAAUUUUUUUGUUUUAAUAGUUAAAUUCUUUCUUAAUAAAUUAUGAACGGUUAAAAUCGAGGGGAAAUUCAAACGUGCGUGUCUUCAUAAAAACCGAAAGUAUUAUAAAAAAAAAUCAUCGUUCACUUCAAUACGGACGGAGAAAACUAAUGUUAAUGACGAGUCCUUCUUAAAAUAUUACUAUUAAUAUGAAUAUUUUUCGAACGAACGCCGAGAAAAUAAUUGUACGCGCGCGUAAUAUGAUGUUAUAAAGUAUAUAACGUGAAAUUAAUCGCAUAAUAAUAUAGUAGUUAAAAGAUACCCGGUAAAUUAAAUUUGUUCACACUGACGCGUAUCGUCGGUAUUAUGAUCAAUUAAUACUAUCCGAUAUUAUCGAAAGCAUAAUGUAUAUUAUAAUAUGUACAAAUGGUUAUGACGUACAAAUAUAAUAUUAUUGAACACGAGACGUGAACUUAAAACUACCGAUGCCACUAUAUAUAUUAAUAUAUACACAAAUCAAAAACGAAAAGAUAAUAAUAUACCGUACAGACGUUUCGAUUAUUAUUAUCAAUUAUAUUGUGUGUGUCUGUGUGAUGAUGAAGUGCUUUUUAAUCUGCAGAAUUGCAUACGAGUCGAUUAAUAAUGUAUUUAUUUUUUUUUAUUAUUAUUAUUAUUAUUAUUUAUUUUUUUGCAGACGCUCAUCAAACUCGCUACAAGACAUUAUUAUUAUAAUCGGCGGCGGUGGCGGGUAUUUUAUACUACCUAUACGUGAUGUGUAUUCAUUCGAACGACCGAUUAAUAGGUCUCGCAUAAUGUUGUAGACUCGUCGAAUUAAUAUUAUAAUUGUGUUUAAUAUAAUAUAAAAACGUGCCAUAAUUAUAAUAUUGUAAUAUUAUUAUCGAACGUGGCGCGAAACGCCGCAAUAUAAUACACACCUAUUGCAUAACCUCAUUGACCAAAUGACCGAUCGUCGUCGCCGGUCGCCGAUUAUAAUAAUAAUAUUAUGCGCGCGGUCCUAAUAUAAUAAUAAUAAUAAAAAAAAAAAACAAACACCUAUCUAGUCUGUUAUCAAGCAAAUGCGUUAUGAAUGAACGAAUAAUAUUAUGCUUGAACGGUCGAGUUUAACCGUGUUUACGAAAUAAGUCGCGGUCUAAACUCGUGAAUAUACAGGUGCCAGUAUAUUAUUCAAACGACCGCACGCGUCUCCGGUGUACACGAUAUAAAUAUUGUGUUACUAGCUAUAAACAAAAAUAUCCGUGUAAUUCGGUGUGUGUAUAGUGCGUGUACAGUGUACAUGAUAAUAAUGUACGAUUGUGUAUAUUUUUUAUUUUAUCGUGUAACACGUGUGUGAUUAUUACGAUGUUUUUUAGAUUCUGAGCGUAGUGAGGGAGCUAUUGGUUUUACAAUGUUGUUUAUUUCUUCUUUGUUCUAGUCUGUGGACACGUUAUUUCCUAAUAAAUAUGCUUUGAUAUAUAAGUGUAGCAACUUUUCUGAAAACUCCAGUUGUCUAGACUGUACUUUAAAGAAGUAAUUUUUUUGAUUUUCGACACCAUUUUUUAAAUAAAAGCACUUAAGUGAGGAAAAACUUAGGAAAACGUACAAUUUCAUUACUUUAUAAAAACACGGAUGACGUUUUCUAUCAGAAAAAAUGAUUUAAUCGAAAAAUCAUAAGAUACCUUUUUUGUUGUCUUUUGAUUUACUUUCUUACGAUAUCAUCGAUAAAACUUUUAAGCUUUUAAGAAAUUUAAAUUUUCGGGAGUUUUUUGGCUGUAAUUCGGUUAUAAAUACACGUAAAAACAUGAAACUUGGUAAUAAUACUUAUAUUAUAGAUGUGAUCAAAUUUUCAAAAUCAUCGGACGACUUUUUUUUUUAAAAAAAUUAAAUUUAAACGAAAAUCGCAAAAAAAAUUACGGCACUUCAGAUUAUGUGUUACCGAAUUGCGCUUGGAAUCGUCUUUCGUUAAGCAAUGGUUUAUGGUUGCUUACAAAUAUAAAUAAAAUAACCUUAUGUAUUCUACCUUCCCAACUUCUCACCUAAAACAGUGACCGCUCCUAUCCCCCCCCAGUAUCAGCUCUCUCUUUUUUUUUUUUUAUCUUCUCGGUCAAAACACUUUUACGAUUAGAAUAAUUAAUCGAAUAUUUCACGCGCAUAUCUAUAUUAUGUAUAUAGGUACCUACCGGAAAAAUACAAAGAUUUUCCGCCUGGCGAUACUUUAUUUGAAACUUUUUUUUUUUAAUUACUUUUGUUUUCCUUAAUAACGGGUUGUUAGGUCAGGUUAUAUGGUUAUUAUAGUCCUGAGUAUAUAGUUGUCACAUCGACCAAUCAAUCAUUUUUAGAUCGCAAUAAUUUGUCGUCGCUUUCAAUAAAUGUUAACUAAAUAUUACCCUGAAUACACAUUACACUUUUUGCCUACAACCGUCACCAUAAUCUGGUAGGGCUGAUUUUUUUUUUUAAUUUUUUUCUGUUGAAAAUUUGUCGUAAUAGUAUUUGUUUUAUAAAAUAUAUAGUCUAAAUAAGAACGGCGAAAAGGGUUAAAAAGUGUCCAACUUAGAAAAUGUGGUAGUUAUCAUAAUCGUUCACAAAAUACAUUUCGUAAAUUGACGUGAAUCUCGCAAAUAAUAUAUAAAAUUUAAUCGUUAAAAACGAUUAAUGAGCCUAACCUCCACAAAAAUACGCUCAGAAUCCUAAAUGGCCUUCUACAACUUGUGCAUGACACGUGCACAAUAUACGCACAUCAUUAGCUACGCGGUUUUUAUCCAUAGCUGUGUAUUUGUAACUAAUAUAACAUAUUAUAGUAUAAUAAUAAAUAAUGAAUAUAAUUAAUUGAUUUCUCGUAAAUAUGGACAUUUUUUUCGUCGGGCUUUCUUCGCGAUUAUCCGAACUACACAAACGUUAACGAAACAUAACCGAACAUAGGUAUUUAGAUUUUGUAAGAGUUUUACAAAACACAACUUAUACCUUGUCGGUCCAAACCCGAUGCUGCUCCAAAGAAAUUAUAUCUUAAUUAAAUUAAACUUAUUAUUGUACGUAUAGUAGACGAAAAAUCACGUCUAGUUGAGUAUUUACACAUUGAUGUCACACGUGAUGCCCAACUCAGACGGGGUCUGUAAAUACGCGACCGGGAUUACACGUGUCCGAUUACAGCAGUGCACUAAUUAAUUCGCAUCGUUGUUCUGUCUGGACGUUAUGUCCCGAAUUCGCAUUUCGCUUUGAUUAACCUCUUGGCUAAACUAGAAAAAAAAAACCACGACUGUCGACUCCUUGAACCCUAGCGCAAGUCAUUAUACUCUACUGAAACCGCGAACUCAGGUUAAACACGCCGAAUGCUUGGUUAUAUAUUGUGUAUAUUAUUUUAAUCAGAAUUUUAAUACAGGUAGAGAUAAAUUAUAAUUUAUUCAGAAUAUAAUAUGUACAAUAUAAUACGUUUCGUUCGAAUACACAUAAAUAUUAUACAAUUUUGUAAAAUGAGGUUGAACUCUUGAGCGUAACCUAAUCGAACGAUAAAAAAAUAAAAAAAUUUACCGUUAUAUAAUUUUAUAAUUGUACCCAUAUGUAGGUGUACCAGUGAGCUCAAGUUGUUAAAAAAUCACAAACAGCGUUUAUGAUUCGAAUUUUUUGUUUUUUUUUUUUUUGAAUCGUUCGAAUGAUUUUCAAAUAUAAAUUCAAAUUUGCUAAUUCAACGCAUUCCAAAAGAGAAUGUAACACAUUAUAACAUUUAUUAGAAAAUGUCGAUACGCAUAAUUAUUUAUAACAUCGCGGAUAUUAUACUUGAGUCGUAUAUAUUUUUAAGACCGAACAGUAAUAUACAAUAAUAUCAGGGAAAGAUAAUAAUUUUCAUUCCUAUCCUAUAUGUAUAUCAUUAUAGUUAGAAAAAAAAUCAAAUUUAUUUGAAAUAUCUCCGUGUACAAGAAUCGCUGCAGGUCCUCGAUAAAAUAUAUAGUCACUCUGUAUACACAACUCAUUAUAAAAAAAAUACACGAUUAUUUUAAGCGAACGCGACAAUAUUCUGUCUAGACCGUUGGAGAGUAUAAUAUAUAUUAUUCAUUAUUAUAUUUAUAUAAGUACUUAUGUAUAGACGAUAAUAUUAUUAUCGAUUUACUAUUAAACUCUAUUAAGAGUUUCGCCGAGUCUUUGCUAAUGCGUAUGUGCGUCUCUUUGUAUGCGGCGCGAAAUUAGCGAAAACCGAGCAUUAUAAAAUAUAAUGAAUAAGCGAUUAAUGUAUAUUAUACAAUUCUAUUUCUUAUUAAAGAAAAAAUUUAAUUACGAUUUACAAAGAAUCUGAAGUAGCAAGUACAGUGAUAUAGGUAUAAUAUUAUAGCAAUACUGUAAUAAAACGUUUGUCGGUUUUGCAGAGCAAACAAAAAAAACAAAAAAAAGAACUGAUACUAGUAUCCACUGUUGUAAGUGAGUAGUUUGAAAAAUAGGAUAGAUAGUUAUUUUUAAUUUAUAUCUGUACGCAACGAUUAAUCAUUGCUGACUAAAAACGAUUCUGAGCGGAGCUCAAUAAGACAUAUUUUGAAAUACUAUAGUUCUUACGAUUUUCAUCAAAAUUUGAUAUUCAAAUGCUUAUAAAAAAAAAAAAAACUAAUGCAUAUUUGUUUUUUAGAACACUAAGUAGGUAUAACUUAUAAUGCACCCUGUGUUAAAUGUUCAAGUAUUUCUCGUAAGUCAUAUAAUUUAAUAGCCUAAAAAUAACUAAAAGGAUUUGAAAAAUUUUACCAUGUCUACAAAGGCCAAUAUUAUUAUUUAAAUCGAAAUGUCGUAUACACUGCCGUAUUUCCUACGUUUUUUUCCGGUGUUUCGUAAUUAUUUGAAAAAUCGUUCAGAAAAUCAAACAACGGUUUUCUUACUCAAAAACUAGACAACAUUUUCUUUCAGAAAAUAUGCCAAUCUUGAAAUGUUGACAAUGUUUUUUGGUAGAAAAACAUAAUCUUAAAACUAUUAAAUAAUGAAAUCGUUGUGCCUUAGUUUUGAAAAAAUGUAUUUUUCGCCUUUUUUGGAUUUUUCUAAUUAUUAUGACAAUUUCUUUAUAGAUAUUAAACAACUACCUUUCUCUAUCAGUGAUUAGAUAUUAAAUGGAACAAAAUCGAUCAUCUGUUAUUUUUCAACUGGAACAAGAUUUCUGGUAGAAAACAUCGUGUAUAUGAAUUUAAAAUAAUGGAAUCGGUAACGCCGUGGCGCGCUUUAAAUACUCGUAUUUAUUUUGUCGUUUUACCGAUAAUUUUAUUUUCAGUUUUUGAAAACCCCUUGAAAAUUUAAAAAAUGACCUCUCUAAUGCACUAACUAGAUAAAAUUUCCUUUCAGAAUAGGUGCUACAUUCUAUGUAUCGGAGUAUGAUGUCUAAUAGUAAAGUUGUUCACAUAUUCGAAAAAUAAAAAAAAUAAAUACAAAAACACACAUCAUAGUAAAAUCAAUAUAUCUCUCUCGAUAUACUUCAAAUCUAAAAGAAUGUUACAUAAACGAAAAUCAAAAAAAUUAAAUAAAUUAUAUUAUAACAAUAGUGGCGAUUAGUGGUUACGGCAUGCUUUUUUUAUCAGUCUGUUAUCAACAAUAAUCGGAUCAUUUGUCUCCAAACAAUUUAAUAGUCCCAAUAAUAACGCCCAUAUUUUUUUUAAUGCUUUACAUAUGAGUAUUAUAUUAAAAUAUAUCUAUAUACAAACCAAGAUUACACUAUUAUUCAAUAAGAGUUACUCAAAUGAGGUUUAUAGCCAAAAAAGAAAUAUAUAAACCUGCUUAAAAUUUAGAAUAUAAAAAUAUGAAAGUUAUACUUUACCAUACAAUAUUCAUAAUAUAUGUGUAAAUACAUUUUUUAUUGGAACCAAUCAUACUUGAUGCAGAUUGUUAUCACACAAUAUGACAUCACACUAAUCGCCGUAGUUUUACUGUAAUUAAUUUAUAAUAUUAAUAAUUUUAUCGUUAUGAUGAUUUUAUAUUGGCAACUCGACCGUUUUUAUAAUAAUGAGUAGGUACCUACAUUCUCGUUGAGUCCGUUUCCCACGCUCCGAAUAAGUCUUUUUCUAUAUUUUCUCAGAUUUCAAUAAUUUAACGAGUCUGCAGUAAUAUAUACGCAUGCAUAUAUUAUAUUAUUAUACGCACGCGCAAGAGUUUCUAGUGACGAAAUUCGCCGGAAACCAAACUGUCGAUUAAUUAAAAUUCCAUAAAUGUUCAGAAAUCGGGUGAUGUCUGAGUGUCUGAUGUACAUACGGAUACGUGAAACGGCAAAAAAGGAUAAUUAUACGUAACGUAGUCUUAUUAAAAAAAAACGACGAGCUGAUAAUUUUGACGGAUAAAUGUGACACUGUUUGUAAGUGGGAAGAUAGGAUAUGCGUAAAUAGUUAUAUUUAAAUUAAAUCUAUAUGCAAAAAUUAAUCAUUGCUAACGAAACACGAUUCUGAGCAAAGUUUGGUUUGAAAUACCGCGAUUUCCAUUAAAAUUUGAACCUUGAACCUUUGCUUACAUAAAAAGAAAAAAAAUUAUCGUACAUUACACUGAACUUUUCGUUUUAUAAUCAAGUACAACUUAUGACGAACUUCGUGUCCAAUUUCGGUGCAUCUUUGUCCGGCCAAAACUAUUUUAUUCACAUAAAAUCAAUUGUCUAUAACUAGCUAAGAAAUUGCCAUAAUUUUUUAACUAUGUCUAGAAAAUUAGGUUUAUAGAAGUAUUCUCUGAUCAUUUUAGGUCUCUGCGAUUAUUUGAAUUACAACAAAACACAAAAUUAGGAAAUAACGGAAUCGAAAGUGACGGACAUUUUCCCGUUUCCUUACGUUUUUUUUUUAAAUAUUAAAAAACCUUCAAAGAAAAUCAAAAACCCCGCUAAUAAUGCACUAACUAGACAAAAUUUGCUUUCAUAAAAGAUAUUACUAAUGAAAAUCGGAGCAAGAUGUCCGGUAGUAGAAAUGUUAACGUAUACAAAAAAAGCAUACAUCAUAUAAUAAAGUUCACUGCGAUUAGAAUAAAAAAAAUAUUGUAAAAUUGCUCAAAUAAAAUAUCUUUUAAAAAAGUCUGAAGAAAAACCCCUUUCAUAUCGUGAACAUUUUUUACAGUUUAAAAGUUAAUUUUGACUAAAUUUUUCUAAUCUUUAAAUUUCCUCUCUAUAAGCAUACUUUCGCAAGUACGUACAAAGAUGCCCGGCCUUUUUGAAACGUUUUUAAAUUUGAACCCGUGUCCGUUCCGCGUUUAGCGAUUCAUUCUGAUAAAAUAUUAGCUGUUGUAUUUUUUCGUCGCUUUCAUUUUUUUUUUUUUUUUUUUAUUAUUUUUAUUAUUUUAUUCCAAUCCAUUAUCGAAAAUUAAAUCAAAGAUUAUUUUCCAAAAUAUCACGGUGUACAGUUUUUUAUCGGCAAGUGCGAUUUAGAGGGAAUAUUAUAGGUGAGAAUUUGGGAAGGUAGGGUACAUAAGAUUAUUUUAUUUAUAUCUGUAAGCAACGGUAAACCAUUGCUAAUGAAAGACGAUUCCGAACGCAGUUCGGUAAUAGAUAAUUUGAAGUGCCGUAAUUUUUUUUAACCUAUCCUUUCUAUGUUUUUUUCUGAUUAUUUUAAAAACUAAUUAGAAAACUAAAAAACGACCAGCAUCAUUUUAAACGAGACUAAUAUUUCAACAAAUUAAGUCUCUUGUCGUUUUUCAAUUGGCGCCAUAAUUGUGCUAGAAAACGUAGUAGGUACUUAUUUAAAAUAACGAAAUCGUGAAAAAAUCGUAUUUUUUUCCCCGGUUAAUCGUUUUUGUUUUAAAUAUCCUUUCAAAAAUCAAAAUAUGACCCAUGUAUUUACUAAGUAGAUAAAAUUUACUUUUAGAAAAGGUGCUACACUUAUGCAUCGGAGGAAAUUUUUUAGGAUAAAAGUGGUUUACAGUAUAAAAAAAAAAUAGAGUACUAUUGUAAGAAAAAGAGGAGAGAGAAAUUUAAAAGAGGAAAAAAAGUAGUCCGAUGAUUUUGGAAAUUUUACCACGUCUAGGUAAGUCCAAUAUAAGUACUAUUACCAAGUUUUAAAUCUCUGCGUGUAUUUAUAACUGAAUUACAGCAAAAAAACUCUCAAAAGUUUAAAUUCCUUAAAAGCUCAAAAGCCGCUAAAAAAAAAAGGUAUCUUGUGAUUUUUCAAUUAAAACAUUUUUUCUGGUAGUAGAAAACGUCGUCCGUGUUUUCCGUUUUCCUACGUUUUUUCCCACUAAAGUGCUUUUAUUUAAAAAAAUGGCGUCAAAAACCAAAAAACAACCUCUCUAAAGUACAGUCUAGACAACUUGAGCUUUCAGAAAAGUUGUUACACUUAUACACCAAAGCAUGUUUACUAGGAGAAUACGUGUCCGCAGACUAGAACAAUGAAGAAGAAAUAAACAGCAUUGUAAAACCAAUAGCUCCCUCGCUACGCUCGGAAUCUAAAAAUUAACCGAGUGAUCCGUAUUACACGAGCGCGUGUUAUAAUAUUCGACUCGGUCGAGGACCCCGGCGGCGGCGACGGCAGCUAACCCUCGUCACGCCGCCGCCACGUGAUUCACACGUACCGGCCACGAGUUUCAAGAGUGUGACUAACGCCGCCCGGAAUGCGUGCCAGAAAAGAUAUCUCUCUAUGCGUGGCGCGCGGUGCGUCGGGCACGUUGUCACAGGAAAGCCACCGGAUUCCUCCUCGCCGUCGUUAUGGCGGCGGCGGCGUCCCGUUUUCUCGGAACGCGCGAGGAACGUCUGCCCUUUUUGCCGUACAAACGACGACCGCAGCGCCGCCGCCGGCGCCAUGUGCUCUCGCCCCCGUUGUACAGGCCGCGGCGUUGUAAUAAACGACGACGCACAUCAUAUUAUUAUUAUUAAAUUGAUAUUAUUAUACGCGCGCGUCGUCCUACGAUUUUUUCUACGUGACUCAUCGAAGACCCGGCGUCGAGUUUCCCGCCAAAAACAAGCGGUAAAAAAUAAAUUUAAAAAAAUGAGCAAAAUAGCCGACAUUAUGCGGGCUUCCCUUGAGAAAGUAGAUACAGUUAUAUUCAAAAAUUUAUUUUUGGAAUAUUGGCUAGUUCGUUUUUUUACUUUACGAAAUCAUUAUAGGCUAAAAAACCAUACAGAUGACAAUGAUUAUACGAUAAUUUAUACAUACAUGUAUAAGUAAAAAUGAAGUAGACAUGUCUGUAAGUUUUGUUACAUAUUAUUAUUAAUAGUAUAGUUGUUUCGGGGAAUUUAUUCGCAGGGAUUUUUUUCCGGAGAUUUUUUUCGGAUUACUUGUUACAACUCUUACAAAGUUCAUAAGUUCGUUGUAAGGGUAUUUAAACCCCGUUAUCUCCUGUAAAAACAUGGUAACUGAGCAUAAAAAUGGUCGGGAGAGUUGAAAGUUUGGGCCAAAAUACAUAUCCUUGAUACUUACACCGUGUAUAUACAAACUUAUAUUCCUCUGGCUUCAUUUGGAGGUCAGUAGGAGUGCACAAAGCUAAAAAAACCACUCUAAUUCCCAAGUUUGAGUUCUUUUGGUUCAAAGGAAGGCUCUAAAAUUGUCCAAAUGUAAUUGUUAUAUAUCACAAACACAAUACAGUGCAAUGUUUCUAUUUUCGAGGAAAAUUCAAAGAAAACAAUUUUACUAAAAAAAUAUCAGUUUGAGUUAGACGACGUGUGUACCGUUCGCUUCGAGGAGUUUAUUGCAGAUAAAUCGACGUCCGGUCUAACAUCCUCGCACCACUGGAACCGAGUAUACAGAGUUGCAGCUACACAGCUUCAAGUGACUCGAAGAAAAUUAUGUCACACUGUAUACAUACUUUAACUAUGGUAAUUGCCAUUCGAUUAUUUUAAUCAAUCUAAUAAAGUAGUUAAUAAAUAAAAAUAGUAUAAUACCUACUUAUGCAGUCGAGUUUACAAGAUAAAUCAACUGAAAAAGUAACGCGUCAUAUUACCGAAUUAUCUUCAAAACAUAGGAAAACAAACCAUAGAUACAAAUAGCUUUUAUAAGGGGCUUAGUCUCCUAUAAUAUAAUUAUGUAUACUAAUAGUGUUUACUUAAUGAAAACUUAGUUUGUGUGGUUUGUCUGAGUUCUAGGGGCUACUCCCAUCCAUGCCGCUCUCCUUAAUUUGCGCCAAUAAAAAUAAAAUAAAAUUAGUAAAAUUUUAUCCAUCUUUAAAUGUAUAGCAGAAACUUUAUUUACUUUAGAAACUAAAUUUCCUUAUUGCUUACCAAUUUCCGCAUAUGAAUGUGUAGCUUAUAAUAUAUUAUAAAAUCAAUCUCUCAAUCUGUAUCAGCUCUCGCCAAAUUAAAUAAAAUUCAAAGGGGGCACGGAAAUAGCCUUCACGCGGUGGCCCGCGGACAACGACAGCAUACUGACAGUGAAUGGAAACGUCAAUAUGAUGACGGCCAAUCUUUCCAUUACUAUCACUGGUCGGACAAAAAAAAACAGUAUACUAAAAUUAUUAUUGAAUCGUAAAAAUAGGAAAAAUGUUCGCGACAAAUUGUAGGUAUCUGUAUGUAACAAUUAUUUUACACAAUGUUUCGUUUUUCGUCUCUUCUUAAAUUUGCGUAUUAUACACAAAUUAAUACUCUAUUGCAAUUUGCUGUGUGUUUUUUUCAGCAGUAAUAGUUUUCUGACGAUAUUUUCGAAAAUCGGUGAGUGCACACACAUACACUUGAACUCUGUUUGAAAACGCAUGACAUAGCAAAUUCGCAAUCAGCAAAACUAAUUUUGAACUCUUAAUAGUAUUAAUAUUACAGUGAAUUGACACAUUAUUACACUUAAUGCUAAGAAUAUUAUCUGUGUUUAUAUGAUAGUCUUUCUGAUACUUGAAUUUUUAAGCAAAAUAUAAGCCUUUUUAAAUUAUUAUCAUAUUUUAUACACUGGUAAAAUAAAACCUUUAAGUUUGAUAAUAGAUAAAUUUGGUUUAAAAUUAACCUAACAGUACAAAAUUUGUUGCGCUAACGCAAAUUUACUAUGCCGUACAUUUGUAAGACGAAGACAACAGAUGCAUGACGUGUAUAGUAAUGUAGCGCCCUCCUAAUAUUUCUGGACAUUUUAUCUCGUGGAGACUCCUUGAACUCAUUAAACGUCUCCGUUUACCUCCCAGAAUAGACCGGACGACGACGACUUUGAUGAGAAGCUUCACCGGCGGUAGGUAUUAAAUUACAUCAUCGCGUAGUAAUAAGUGUAAAAAUACUAUGGCAGCAACACAGGAAGACGACUCACCUCCAAAAACGAACACGGGUAAAAUCCCUCUGUAUAUAUUUAAGGGGCUAUCAAAGUGAAAUUGUCAGUCUGUCAAUAGGCAAUAAAGCAACGAUUUGUUCGCGUAUAACAAACGAAGACCUUUAAAAUCGGUUUUAAAGGUAAAACACAAGUCAUGCAAUUUGUUCGACACUAAUAUUUUCAAGAUAAUCUCGUUAGCGUUUUACAAUAUUCUUUAAAUAUUCAACUUAUUAUCAACUUUUUUAAGGUUUUGAAGGUAAACAAAAAAACCUGAUGACGUUGUUUUAAAAAUAUUUGUAUAGAUUUUUUAUCUCUAAAACCGAUUUUAAAGACAUUUUCUUUUGUUUUAUACGUGAAUAAAUAUUUUUUAUAUUUCCCAUAAGAAAAACAAAGCCGAAAAAAGCCAUUGUGAAGACUUUUUAAGAGGAUACUAUAUACUCACAUUUAUUGUCACGAUCUAACUAACAAACAAAAUGGAUAAAAAUACGUUACUUAGAAUGUAAAUUAUUCGGGACGUUCAGGUUGAAAUUAGAAUUUUAACACAAAUACGAAGUAUCAUGAGAAGAAUAUUUCUUAGAGCUGUAUGCCUAUACGUAGCUGUUUUCAAAAAAGUUGGCGUACAAAAAAAUUACAACUAUAUUUAAAACAAAAGAAAAUCAAAAACUAACAUGGCCAUAAAAAGCUACGUAUAGCCUUCGAAAAUAUUCUCCCCUUAAAAUGUUAUUAAUUUAUACAUUUAAACUCUAAUGUCAACUUGAACGUCACCUUUGUGUUUCAAGUAACGUUAUUUUGCUAUGUCGUGUGUUGGAAUAAUACGGAGACAGUAGAUGGUGGUAUGACAUUAUCUUUAAGUACCUAGCGUAUAUUAUAUUAUUAUUUUUUAACAAUCAGUCGGAUUACGCGGCUACGAUACGAAACUACCUGUUGUAACCGAUCACCACCACACGCAGGGACCUGUUCCGCCUAGGGAGGAAAACGCCGACGUUAUAAUAUUGUAAUAAUAAUUUUACGGCGUCCUUUUUUUGUCUACUAAGAUCUUUAUUUUUUUUAUUUUUUUUUCAGAGAAUAUGAUUCACCAAAAAUCAAUUAAUCUUCUCCGCGUUCGGAAUCCGGAAUUUUUUUCUUCCCCUUCGACGACGCUCGACGGUAUU
rnacentral:lncRNA from 1 species